rnacentral:rRNA from 1 species
UACGGAGGGCGCUAGCGUUGUUCGGAAUUACUGGGCGUAAAGCGCACGUAGGCGGCUUUGCAAGUUAGAGGUGAAAGCCCGGGGCUCAACUCCGGAAUUGCCUUUAAAACUGCAUCGCUAGAAUUGUGGAGAGGUAAGUGGAAUUCCGAGUGUAGAGGUGAAAUUCGUAGAUAUUCGGAAGAACACCAGUGGCGAAGGCGACUUACUGGACACAUAUUGACGCUGAGGCGCGAAAGCGUGGGGAGCAAACAGG